UCGGAUGUAGUUCAAUUGGUAGAGCGCUGGUCUCCAAAACCAGAAGUUGCAGGUUCAAGUCCUGUCAUCCGGG
rnacentral:tRNA from 1 species